UAGGGAAUCUUCCGCAAUGGACGCAAGUCUGACGGAGCAACGCCGCGUGAGUGAAGAAGGAUUUCGGUUCGUAAAACUCUGUUGUUAGAGAAGAACAGCGCAUAGAGUAACUGUUAUGCGUGUGACGGUAUCUAACCAGAAAGCCACGGCUAACUACGUGCCAGCAGCCGCGGUAAUACGUAGGUGGCAAGCGUUGUCCGGAUUUAUUGGGCGUAAAGCGAGCGCAGGCGGUCAAUUAAGUCUGAUGUGAAAGCCCCCGGCUCAACCGGGGAGGGUCAUUGGAAACUGGUUGACUUGAGUGCAGAAGAGGAGAGUGGAAUUCCAUGUGUAGCGGUGAAAUGCGUAGAUAUAUGGAGGAACACCAGUGGCGAAGGCGACUCUCUGGUCUAUAACUGACGCUGAGGCUCGAAAGCGUGGGUAGCAAACAGG
rnacentral:rRNA from 1 species